CCUGCGAGUUGCAGGCUCUACAGUGGCAGUUCUGGGAGAGAAACCCCCAGAGGGCGAGUCUGGGGGAUGGGCAUAUGGGGUUGCUGGAAGAGGGGAGAUGGCCGCAGCUGUAUGGGUCAGGCUCUGCAGGGGGCAGGCAUCCAGACUUUAUCCAGUAUCCAUGAAAAGGAGGAAGCAAAGCCUGGGUUGGACUCCAAACAGCCUUCCUCCAGUAUGACCCAGUAUGCUUCUGAUGGUCACUUUGUGAUUGGCUGGUCCACAGCUGAGUGUUUGUACCUAACUGAAGAGCACUUAAUAGGUUGUAGGAAUGCAUUGCUAUCCCUAGCCCAUCCUCUGCUCAUGACUUUGUCCAGAGACUCUUGUUGGGUGACUGUUGUGGACUUGAAGAAGGCCUUUUCUGCACAUCCUUGAGUUUUGAAUCCCAAGUCUGCUUUCAAGUUGGGAAGAUGGAGAUAAAAGAGUUAGCCUACAGUACUGCUGAACAGCGCUUCCUCAGGGACUUAGAAGUUCACAAUACUUGAAGUCCUGGCCAGACUUGGGGGACCUUGAACUAAACAGGGAGUCCGUGCUCCAGGAUGCAGAUGAUACUCUGAUCACCAGUGAGACAGAGGACACCUGAGACCAAGGAGGAGACAGCGGACCUCUAGACUGGAAUCUUGGAAGAUGAACGUCUGGACGACUGGCUUCAUCCCUGCUGGUCAAGCUCUCAGGAGAACUGCAAUGGGAAAUGAAAACCACGCUGCAGGAGGAGAGGACCUCGACCAAAGUUGUCCAAACCUUGCUGGUUCUAGACACUGGCUUCUCCCAGGGGCAGAGCAACCUCAACAGACCUCAAAUUGCUGUUCAGAAGUGGCAAGGAAAAAAAAAAAAACCUGCAAGAAAGAAACCAAGGAGAUGUCUUACAGCCUAGAUGGUGUCAGCCUAUCUGGGAAGACAGGCAAACUUCCAGUGGAACUGGAAAGAAACGCGCAGCCAGAGACACCAUGCUUGUCCUCAUCACAUUGUGGCCUUCCUUCAGAUGUGUUUUUCAUCCAUUCGGUGUGGAAGGGAUAUUAUGAAUAUUCAGGAAAAAGAUAGCCUGUGACCCCAACUGUCGAACUGUUUCAACAGAGCAAGCAGCAAAGUGAACACGACCUACACUGAAGCCUCCCAGGGGGAGCUGCAGUUGACGGGUAGGCGCCCAGGGCUCUCCCUCACCAGACCCUCUGUCAGUCUUCAGGUCGAGGGGGCGCCAGCGCCAGGCCGAGUGCUGGCUGACGUCACCUGGGCUUUGCACCUGCUGCCUCUCACUAUGUCAUCUCAGUGACUGGGGCAGGACAGUUCUGUUUCCUCACUUUAAAGGUUACAAAACCAGUACAGAAAGGCAAAUUAAUUUGCUCCAGAUUACACACAGAUCCUGUUACAUCAAAGAUGGAAAAUUUAUGUCCAGAUAGUCACAUCUCCAAAAUUCAC
ensembl:lncRNA